rnacentral:rRNA from 1 species
UGGGGAAUAUUGGACAAUGGGCGCAAGCCUGAUCCAGCCAUGCCGCGUGAGUGAUGAAGGCCCUAGGGUUGUAAAGCUCUUUUGUCCGGGACGAUAAUGACGGUACCGGAAGAAUAAGCCCCGGCUAACUUCGUGCCAGCAGCCGCGGUAAUACGAAGGGGGCUAGCGUUGCUCGGAAUCACUGGGCGUAAAGGGCGCGUAGGCGGACGUUUAAGUCAGGGGUGAAAUCCCGGGGCUCAACCUCGGAAUUGCCUUUGAUACUGGAUGUCUCGAGACCGGAAGAGGUAAGUGGAACUGCGAGUGUAGAGGUGAAAUUCGUAGAUAUUCGCAAGAACACCAGUGGCGAAGGCGGCUUACUGGUCCGGUUCUGACGCUGAGGCGCGAAAGCGUGGGGAGCAAACAGGAUUAGAUACCC